rnacentral:lncRNA from 1 species
ACGAGAGUUAAGAAAGUUAAGAAGAUGGGGAUAUGAGUGAUGAUGCUGGAUGGAUGGCCUUCUUUGGCCUUUUUGAUGUUAUUUCAUUUUUUAGUUUAUGAUUUGCUUCAGACUUUUUUUUUAGAUUGUUGAACUUAUUUUGAUUUGGUUGAUCUUGGUCCAUCCUUUUUUUAGGAUGUGGAUUUGUGGAAUUUUGGUGCGGCAUCCAUGUCGCCAUUAACUUUUAAAUGAUUUUGGUUUGAUUAAUUAAGUUGUUUAGUUUAAAAUGUUUUAGUUU